GUAGGUGGCAAGCGUUGUCCGGAAUUAUUGGGCGUAAAGCGCGCGCAGGCGGUUCUUUAAGUCUGAUGUGAAAGCCCACGGCUCAACCGUGGGGGUCAUUGGAAACUGGAGAACUUGAGUACAGAAGAGGAAAGCGGAAUUCCACGUGUAGCGGUGAAAUGCGUAGAGAUGUGGAGGAACACCAGUGGCGAAGGCGGCUUUCUGGUCUGUAACUGACGCUGAGGCGCGAAAGCGUGGGGAGCAAACAGGGAUUAGAUACCCUGGUAGUCCACGCCGUAAACGAUGAGUGCUAAGUGUUAGGGGGUUUCCCGCCCCUUAGUGCUGCAGCUAACGCAUUAAGCACUCCGCCUGGGGAGUACGGCCGCAAGGCUG
rnacentral:rRNA from 1 species